UACAGAGGCCUCGAGCGUUAGGCGGAAUCACUGGGCUUAAAGCGUGUGUAGGCGGACUUCUAAGUGCCUUGUGAAAUCCCACGGCUCACCCGUGGAACUGCUGGGCAUACUGGGAGUCUUGAGCCACCUAGGGGCGAGCGGAACAAAUGGUGGAGCGGUGAAAUGCGUAGAUAUCAUUUGGAACGCCAACGGAGAAAUCAGCUCGCUGGGGGUGUACUGACGCUGAGACACGAAAGCCAGGGGAGCGAACGGG
rnacentral:rRNA from 1 species